UAGGGAAUCUUCGGCAAUGGACGAAAGUCUGACCGAGCAACGCCGCGUGAGUGAAGAAGGUUUUCGGAUCGUAAAACUCUGUUGUUAGAGAAGAACAAGGACGUUAGUAACUGAACGUCACCUGACGGUAUCUAACCAGAAAGCCACGGCUAACUACGUGCCAGCAGCCGCGGUAAGACGUAGGUGGCAAGCGUUGUCCGGAGUUAGUGGGCGUAAAGCGAGCGCAGGCGGUUUCUUAAGUCUGAUGUGAAAGCCCCCGGCUCAACCGGGGAGGGUCGUUGGAAACUGGGAGACUUGAGUGCAGAAGAGGAGAGUGGAAUUCCAUGUGUAGCGGUGAAAUGCGUAGAUAUAUGGAGGAACACCAGUGGCGAAGGCGGCUCUCUGGUCUGUAACUGACGCUGAGGCUCGAAAGCGUGGGGAGCAAACAGG
rnacentral:rRNA from 1 species